rnacentral:lncRNA from 1 species
AUGGGUUCUUCUUGCCAUCUCCUUUUUUUUUUUUUUCUGGAAAUUGACCUCUUGAAGAAAAGCACUGGACUCUGCUACAAACUUCGUACGCUCUUCAGGUUUCAUGAGAAAUUUCAUAUGCGUGUGGGAGCCCUGCAUUUCUCCCCCGCAGAAGCAUGGUCUCCAGCCUAUUUGCAUGCUCCGCCCUGCCGUGGGGGCGUGGCCACCGGGAGCCGACUACUCCCCGGAGCCGCCCUGAGCGAGCCGCUGGAGACUUCUUUUGCUACAGGUGAAAGACAAAGCAGAAAAUGAUUUAAUGGGUUUCUUGGUGGCUGGUGUUCCAUCCUUCUCAAAGAUAACAUGGUUGACACACAAUACACAGAAGCAAAGCCCAGACUUUAUUAUAGUUAAAGUAAUUCACUUAUAGGCAGGAUUUCUUUCUUUCUUUUUUUUUUUUUUAAGAUUUAUUUAUUUAUUAUAUGUAAGUACACUGUAGCUGUCUUCAGACACUCCAGAAGAGGGCAUCAGAUUUCGUUACGGAUGGUUGUGAGCCACCAUGUGGUUGCUGGGAUUUGAACUUGGGACCUUCAGAAGAGCAGUUGGCCCUCUUAACCACUGAGCCAUCUCGCCAGCCCCUAGGCAGGAUUUCUUAACACUGGCCUGCAUGACUUCAAACUUGGAAUUCUCCUGCCUUGGCCUCCUGCUGGAAUUAAGAUGUUUGCGACAGCCGCCUGGCAUCUAAAAGAUUUUCAUAUGUUGAGAACCAUUUUUGUGAUGUGGGUUGGGUUCUUUUGUCUCCCGUCUUUUCUUUCUCCUGUUUUCUUUUUGAUACAGAAUGAUCUGGGACUCAAUAUGCAUAGUUCAUUUUAUGAGGUAUUCACCAGAGAAGACUGCUUGAACAUGAGUUUAUGCCAAUAGAAAGUCUUUAUUAAGCAGGCCAGGAACUACACAGGGUGUUCAGGAUCCCAGUGUAGCCCCCAGCCUUUUUCAGGGUGUGCUUUUAAGCACAAAAACCACAUGCUGGGUUGGCAUACUUCAAUUAACAAGAACAGUUAGCCAGAAGCAAAACUACAGAAGCCAAAAAGCAAGGUUAGUACAUUUAGAGACUACAGAUUUUGAUGGAUUAGGCCUUUGUUUUAGAUUAGGCAACUGAUUCGGUCUAUGAGCUGAGUUUUACAGCCCAAAUGGAACUUUCAUCAUGGAGUCAGUCUGGGGGCCUGGUACCCUGUUAUGGUCCAUACUGGCUUUAAACUUGAAAUCCUCCUGCCUCAGCAUCUUGAGUGCUGGGAUUAUAAGCGUGAGUCAUUACUCC